UUGAAAGGGAAACGAUUGAAGUCAGUCAUGCCGGCGGGAAUCAACUUAGGGGAAACUCUAGGUGCACUUCUUCGCUUGGCAGGUCAACGUCGAUUUUGAAUGUCAUAAAAUAAUUGGGGGAAGGUAGCUCCUUCGGGAGUGUUAUAGCCCUUGAUAGAUGUGAUGUUUGGGGUCGAGGAUUGCAACGGAUACCCUCUGGGGCUAGCCGCCUGAUCUCUAAUCGGUGUUGGGUUACGGAUAGCAUGCUGACCGUGAUCUAAUUACUGGUUAAAAGGUUAGAGCGUGCAUAAAUUCGUUAAGGAUGUUGACGUA
rnacentral:rRNA from 1 species